rnacentral:rRNA from 1 species
UGGGGAAUAUUGGACAAUGGGCGAAAGCCUGAUCCAGCCAUGCCGCGUGUGUGAAGAAGGUCUUCGGAUUGUAAAGCACUUUAAGUUGGGAGGAAGGGCAGUAAGCGAAUACCUUGCUGUUUUGACGUUACCGACAGAAUAAGCACCGGCUAACUCUGUGCCAGCAGCCGCGGUAAUACAGAGGGUGCAAGCGUUAAUCGGAAUUACUGGGCGUAAAGCGCGCGUAGGUGGUUCGUUAAGUUGAAUGUGAAAGCCCCGGGCUCAACCUGGGAACUGCAUCCAAAACUGGCGAGCUAGAGUAUGGCAUAGGGUGGUGGAAUUUCCUGUGUAGCGGUGAAAUGCGUAGAUAUAGGAAGGAACACCAGUGGCGAAGGCGACCACCUGGGCUCAUACUGACCCUGAGGUGCGAAAGCGUGGCGAGCAAACAGG